UACGUAGGCAGCAAGCGUUGUUCGGAGUUACUGGGCGUAAAGCGAGUGUAGGUGGUUGUCCAAGUUGGAUGUGAAAGCCUUGAGCUCAACUCAAGAAAUGCAUUCAGGACUGGAUGACUAGAGGACCGGAGAGGAUAGUGGAAUUCCCAGUGUAGUGGUGAAAUACGUAGAGAUUGGGAAGAACACCAGUGGCGAAGGCGGCUAUCUGGACGGUUUCUGACACUAAGACUCGAAAGCGUGGGGAGCAAACAGG
rnacentral:rRNA from 1 species